GGAUCUCUUUCUCUUUAGCUUCACACUCUGACUUGAAUAAUAAUGUCUGUCUCCUAAGAUCAUCUUCUCGUGACUCAACUUCACGUAAUUUUCUUUCUGCGGUACGAUGAAAGAGGCUGGCUUCUGCUUCCAAGGAUUCUGCUUUACGCAACUUUUCCUCCACAUCAGUGUACUUCUUUUGAGCAUCCUCCAUCAUGCUCUGUGCUUCAGCCAAUUUAUUCUCAGAGGCAACUUUUGCUUCAGCACAUUCUGCUCGCAUCUCAUGCAACGCUUUCUCAAUGUUUGCAACACAUUCUUUCUCAAUUCCAAGAGCUUUCUUCAGAUUAGCUUCAAGUUUCUUAGCUUCAGCCGUAUCAGAAAGGCGUGCAGCUUGUUCACGCUUGUACAAGAGUUCAGCUGACUCAGAAGCUGCUUUAGAUUGCUCAUUCUUGGAAACCCACUCUUUCCUUUCUAGGAUGAGAAGCCCCAUCUGAUAUUGAUGGUCAUACAGCUCCGUUUCGAGUUUGGCUAUAUAGGCAAUAAGAGCUGCUUUAUCUCUACGUUUAAUAGAGUCCUCAUCAAAUCCAGCUUCACGGAGUCGCUUCCAUAUGACUUCAUCUGUCAAAGGGGUUUUCGAAACCCUACCCAAACCAGAAAUAGGGGUCGGAUUCACCGGAGUCAAAGCCAAUCUCCCUGACCCAGGACUCGCCAUUCUUGAUUUCACCACACAACUGACAAGUUUACAAAAACAAAAUCAACUUUUUUUCUUGAGAAAUUGAUCAAUUUCUUGAGUUUUCUUGAGUUAAUUAUCCCUUCCCAAGAACAAUGAAGGUAUGCUAUGCUAAUGGUGGACUCCACACAAAACUUUUUGUGCUUUCUUCUUUGCCUUUCUCUCUCUUU
rnacentral:misc_RNA from 1 species